rnacentral:tRNA from 2 species
GCUGGCGUAGCUCAAUUGGCAGAGCAGCUGACUUGUAAUCAGCAGGUUGAAGGUUCAAGUCCUUUCGCCAGCUCCA